UAUUCGGUGUCAUUCAUUGACAGCGUGAAUACAAAUAUUUGCGAGGUUGUGAUGAUCAAAAGAUAUUGAAAUUAAUAUAUAAGUGAUAAAAAGAUAAUAAAAUUCCUUAAAAAAAAUAGAUAAUAAACUUAAAUGGAACUUCAUUAAAAAAUUAAAUGGACCGGUUAAAAAAAAUAAAAUAAAAUAAAAUGGAAGAAAAAAACAUAUUGAAAAAAUAAAACAAAAGGUUG
rnacentral:lncRNA from 1 species